rnacentral:lncRNA from 1 species
CCGCUGGCCACGCCCCCAGCUCCCACGGCGACGCGCCGGGAAUCGGUGACGGGCGGGGGCCGUGAGGGGACGGGCGAUGUACAGGGACAGCUGAGUGGGGACAGGGGUCCUAAUUACUCUGGAGGAUGGAGCUCCCAAGACCAUUCCCACCUCUGACCAACAACACCUAAACUGUGCUUUGGAGCCAGCUCCAUCUGGGAUGGAUCCAGUUCUUCAGGUUAACAGCUGCACAUCCGAGGCUGCUAAACGUCAGAGGCUAACACUGAUUUUCUGUGGUCUCUUUGCUUUGGAAUGUAAUACAAAG